CCGCUCAUCAAAAAGCUGAAAAUAGUAUUUCCACUGAAAUGUCAAACUUGUUAAUUGCUAACCCGUUAGCUAACAUUUUGACACCACCAAAAAUCACCUAACAUUGAUGGCUUGAUCACAAGAUAACACUGUUGAAGGUAAUGCAUUAUUUAAACGCUGUUGAAUAUGCCGAGAAUACGGCGUCCCACGCUACGUUUCCUCGUCCUCUUUUUUGUGUCAUACUACCUUUAGCUAGUAGGUAGCUAGCUAACAUAAGGGCGCUUGUGCUAGCUAGGUUACUUUCUAAGCUAAACUAACGUUAGCUAAUUUAGGUUUGUCUGCCCAUGUGUAUUAGCGCGAACUAGCUAGUAGCGUAUUAACCGUGUGUCAGCCCUUGAUUGCUAACGUAUGUUAGCUAAAAGCUAGCUGCUGUAAUGGCUAUCGAAAUAAUCAAUUUUGUCACAAUUUGUAGCCACUUGUUGUAGUUGCAGGGUCUUGAUAAAAUGGGUUAAUGGUUAUGUUUAGUCGUCUAGAUUCUUCUUUUAACAGAUGUGGCCGCUCAGAGAAUAGAAUUAGUAACAUGCAAAGAAGGACCACACAAGGGUGAUUUCAGAAAAUAUGACCAAGACAUUUGCACGCCAAAAGACAGGAAGUGAUCAACCAGUGUCCCAGUGUUGAAGACAUGAAAGACAGAUAGCCUGCUCUGUUUAGAAGCCUCUCAGGUGAGUCGGCAGGCAAAAAAAGAAAAUGCCAAAUGAUGUCUUCACUAUGACAAACCUCUUUGUUAUGAGCCUUGCUUGAUGAUAUUUCAGUAUUUGUCUUUCAGAUCAAUGAACAAUUCCACAGGCUCACCGCAAAGCAUCUUGAGGCAAGGUUUAUGCAGGACACCCCUAAGUUGCUGUCCUUAUUCCAUUCCAAGGGAGGAGUACUUUCAGACAGAUUGCGGGUCAGGCUGGAUGGAAGCUGAGGGGGGUCAUUUCCUGCAAGACCUUGCGCAACAUGUAAAGCAAAUCUAUGCGAUCAACAAGGAGGGUGCCGUGGCGAGUGAUGGUCCAGAGGAGCAGGUCAGGAACGGUGUCCUCUACCACAGGCCCGCUUGUUGUUGGUGAAGCCGCCUGGGACACAGAAUCUGUGCUGGGACCAACCUCUGCCUACCGGGGGAUGGUCACCGAGAGGCGGGGCUCGAGCACAUUGCGGUCUGGGACCCCGUCCCCGAUGGGCCCGUGGCGGUCAUCUAGGCUAAAGAGGUUAGAGGUUGCGGUUUGAAAUGUCCAUUUUUGAAUCCGUUGUACGUACCAUUUUGAGGUUUCAUCAAGGUACACACCUUUUACCACUGGUAUUUUGACAAUUCUACCAUCAAUCAAUCAAUCAAUGAAGUGGAUCUAUAAAGCCCUUUUUACAUCAACAGAUGUCACAAAGUGCUAUGC